rnacentral:rRNA from 1 species
CCUACGGGAGGCUGCAGUGGGGAAUCUUGCGCAAUGCGCGAAAGCGUGACGCAGCAACGCCGCGUGUGGGAAGAAGGCCUUCGGGUUGUAAACCACUUUCAGGAGGGACGAAGGUUCGGCAGUUAAUAGCUGACCGGACUGACGGUACCUCCACAAGAAGCCCCGGCUAACUACGUGCCAGCAGCCGCGGUAAUACGUAGGGGGCUAGCGUUGUCCGGAAUCAUUGGGCGUAAAGCGCGCGUAGGCGGCCCGGUAAGUCCGUUGUAAAAGUCAAA